rnacentral:lncRNA from 1 species
GUGUCUCUUUCCCCACAGAUGUAACCAGGUUCCUGUGGAGGACACGGCUUUGCUAAGCCUGCCUGGCUUCUGUGUCCUCCUCUGGGCCUGAGUGCAGAGGGUGAGAGUCCACAUCCCCAGAACCAUGGGGACUGAACAGGAUUACUACAGAGCAGCAAAGAAGUGGGGCACCAAAGGAAAGAGUACACAACACCUUGUGAACACAGAAUUCUGGUGGACCCAGAAUAUGUGGGAGUUCAGUGAGACUUAAAGAGGAAAAGAUUUCUGCCUACACCAGGCCAGACAUCAAGGGAAAACAAUUAUCACAAAGACCUACGUGUGAACUAAUGCAAGCAGCUAAUGCCAAGCCUAACAUGCUCCAUAUGUGUUAGAAGUUUUAAGGUGAAGAAAAGAACUGGCCUUUUUCUUCCUUUAGCCCUGUGAGACAGACAUUCUGCACUUAAAUUAUCAGCCACAGGGCAUCCGUGGCUGGGAAUCCAAACAGAUGCUAAUGAAUUUGGAACAACAUUUAAGUGGCUGAACAAAAAUGGAUCCUAAACACCCCCAAAUCAAGUGCAACAAACAAGAAAUAGGCUGACACAUUUCUAUCAGGAAGGCAACCAGAAUGUCAAACUCUUGAAUGAUACUGGGUGAUCUCAGCUCUGUUUUAUCAUCUCAGUAAAUAAAUCUAGAGAUGAUAAACAACCAUAAAUACCUGCAACAAAUGCUCCAUAAAAACCAAA